CAGGACGAACGCUGGCGGCGUGCCUAAUACAUGCAAGUCGAACGCUUCUUUUUCCACCGGAGCUUGCUCCACCGGAAAAAGAGGAGUGGCGAACGGGUGAGUAACACGUGGGUAACCUGCCCAUCAGAAGGGGAUAACACUUGGAAACAGGUGCUAAUACCGUAUAACAAUCAAAACCGCAUGGUUUUGAUUUGAAAGGCGCUUUCGGGUGUCGCUGAUGGAUGGACCCGCGGUGCAUUAGCUAGUUGGUGAGGUAACGGCUCACCAAGGCCACGAUGCAUAGCCGACCUGAGAGGGUGAUCGGCCACAUUGGGACUGAGACACGGCCCAAACUCCUACGGGAGGCAGCAGUAGGGAAUCUUCGGCAAUGGACGAAAGUCUGACCGAGCAACGCCGCGUGAGUGAAGAAGGUUUUCGGAUCGUAAAACUCUGUUGUUAGAGAAGAACAAGGAUGAGAGUAACUGUUCAUCCCUUGACGGUAUCUAACCAGAAAGCCACGGCUAACUACGUGCCAGCAGCCGCGGUAAUACGUAGGUGGCAAGCGUUGUCCGGAUUUAUUGGGCGUAAAGCGAGCGCAGGCGGUUUCUUAAGUCUGAUGUGAAAGCCCCCGGCUCAACCGGGGAGGGUCAUUGGAAACUGGGAGACU
rnacentral:rRNA from 1 species